UAUCUACUUUAUUUUAAGGGGCAUAAUUAAUAGCAGAGCAUGAAUUUGGAUCAGUAGUAAAUAGUGCAAUGAAAAUUUAUUCAGUUUUCUAAAAACGAUACAAAUUCGAUGAUUGCAGAUUCGACCUUACAGGAUGAAUUAUGUGAGUAUCCAUUUCAACAGACCAACCACGUUCGACACAAGCUGCUCCCGCAACAUCUUGCGAUAAUCCGGUCAUUGCAGCAACCAUGUCAAGAGAGAUCGACGAAUAAGCUUGUUCAAUCAGGUCAAUGGCUCUACUGCGUACCUUUUCUACUGAAAGCAAAAUUACCUUACAAUCAAAAACAGGGCGCUUUACCAUGUAAUAUUUUCAUAAUUUCCGCUACAGAGUCGCUCCACGUCACAGCAUUAAGAGCCUUAUAAAUAGCAGGAAAAUCUCUUUUCCACAUAUGUUGUCCUACUGUCCAUAUAUUACCUAACUCUGGAUUCGAGGACUUCACAUUUACAGGUAUACGUUUCCAUAAAUACUUCGCAUUGCAUCUGCAAAAUGUGUAUCAAGACUAUUGGCCAGUAUUCUUAUAGAUACUUACAGAUCAUUCUGAUAUAAAUAAAUAGCUAAUAAUUGUGCAUAAAUUUGAGGUAGUGGAAUACCAUUAGGCGCCUGCAGAAUACAACAUAAAAUCUAACCUAACAAUUUGUUGGGAACUUACUUCUAACUCCUGUUUUUCUAAAUCUUCGGCUAAUUUUUCAAUGUUAUUAUUUAUCACCAUUUCUAUUAUUAAUCAUUCAUAGGUUAAUAAAACGUACUAUCAUUA